rnacentral:lncRNA from 1 species
GGGUGAGAAAACAUAUCCGGCAUGAAGUGCAUACGCGUCGGAUGAUGGAAAGCAACGUGAUCAUCCCAAUCCCGGCGUAUAAUCUCCUGCCUAUAUUCUCCCUUUUGAAGAUUCUCAAUGAGCCAGAGCUGUAGUAGCAUAUUGCACCCUUCAAAGUGUGGCGCCCCUUGCUGACAUUUCUCUAAGGCUCGGUACAGUUUUGUGAGGAUCAUGGGUGCUAUGUUGAAUGUAUGCCCGUCGAUGCCCUCCAUUACGGCUUUG